CGGCGGCGGCAGCGAAGGAGUUGGGAAGUUCAAAAUGGCCGCCGCGGCGGAGCCCGAGCAGCGAGCGCCCGAGGUUGAGGAUGCUGAUGCAUCUGAGAAAAGUGUAAAUGAAGAAAAUGGGGAAGUAUCAGAGGCAGACCAACCUCAGAACAAGCACAGCCGGCACAAAAAAAAGAAACACAAACACCGAAGUAAACACAAGAAACAUAAACAUUCUUCAGAAGAAGAUAAGGACAAAAAACAUAAACACAGACACAAACAUAAGAAACAUAAACGGAAAGAGGUAGCUGAUGCCUCUGACAAGGAAGAUGGACCAGCUAAAAGAACUAAAAUUGAUUUUUUAGCUCCUCUGGAAGACUUGGAGAAACAAAGAGCAUUAUUGAAAGCUGAGCUUGAAAAUGAAUUAAUGGAAGGAAAAGUCCAGUCUGGGAUGGGAUUAAUAUUACAAGGUUAUGAGUCAGGAUCUGAAGAGGAGGGGGAGAUUAAUGAAAAAGUACGAAAUGGAACAAAAGCUACAGCUAAGUCAAACACUAAGGGGAAACUAGAACCUGUGGACAAUAAAACUAGUUCCAAGAAAGGAAGUAAGAGUGAAUCAAAAGAAAGGACUAGGCACAGAUCUGACAAAAAGAAAGGCAAGGUAGGAGUUGAUGGAAUCAAAGAGAAGACAACUAGAAGCAAGUCGAAAGAGAGGAGGAAAUCCAAAAGCCCUUACAAGAGAAGUAAAUCUCAAGAUCAGACAAGAAAAUCCAGGUCUCCAAUGCUCAAAAGGCGAUCUCAGGAGAAAAACAGAAAAUCUAAGUCUCCCCCAGAGGACAGAACUAAGGCUGAUGAUAAAAGUAAGUCAAGAGAUCGCAGAAAGUCUCCAGUUGUAAAUGAAAACAAAAGUAGAGAUCGUGGUAGAAAAUCUAAAUCUCCAAUAGAACUAAGAAGCAAAUCCAAAGAUAGAAGAUCACGGUCCAAAGAUAGAAAACCUAGGAGAUCAGAGACUGACAAAGAAAAAAAGCCAAUUAAAUCUCCUUCUAAAGAUGCUUCUUCAGGGAAAGAAAACAGGUCCCCUAGACGACCUGGACGUAGCCCAAAAGGAAGAAGCUUAUCUCCCAAACAACGUGAGAAGUCAAGAAGAAGCAGAUCGCCUCUCUUUAAUGAUCGUAGAUCUAAACAGAGUAAAUCACCCUCUCGAACCCGGUCUCCAGUUAGAAGAGUGAGGAGUAGGUCUGCAGAAAGGAAAAGAAGAGAAUCAGAAAGGCGGCGUCUUUCUUCUCCCAGAACACGGACCAGAGAUGAUAUUUUGUCUAGACGUGAGAGAUCAAAAGAUGUUAGCCCACCCAGUAGGUGGUCUCCAUCCAGAAGAAGGUCUCGAACCCCCAUUAGAAGGAGAUCUCGUUCACCACUUCGGCGUAGCCGAUCUCCAAGAAGGCGGAGCAGGUCUCCUCGGAGGAGGGAUAGAGGCCGAAGAAGUAGAUCUCGCCUUCGAAGGAGGUCCAGGUCACGUGGUGGCCAUAGACGUAGGAGCAGAAGCAAAGUUAAAGAAGACAAAUUUAAAGGUAGUCUUUCUGAGGGUAUGAAAGCUGAACAGGAGUCUUCAUCGGAUGAAAAUCUUGAAGACUUUGAUUUGGAAGAAGAGGAUGAAGAAGCAGAGAUAAGACAAAGAAGGUUACAGCGGCAAGCAAUUGUUCAGAAAUACAAAGGCCAGACAGAAGACAGCAAUAUAUCUGUACCAUCUGAACCAAGCAGUCCUCAAAGUAGUACUCGUAGUCGCUCAAAUUCGCCAGAUGACAUCCUAGAAAGAGUAGCUGCUGAUGUUAAGGAGUAUGAACGGGAAAAUGUGGAUACAUUUGAGGCAUCAGUAAAAGCCAAGCACAACCUCAUGACAGUUGAGCAGAAUAAUGGUUCAGCUCAGAAGAAACUGCUAGCUCCUGAUAUGUUCACAGAAUCAGAUGAUAUGUUCGCUGCAUACUUUGAUAGUGCUCGUCUAAGGGCUGCUGGGUUUGGAAAAGACUUCAAAGAAAACCCCAAUCUCAGGGAUAACUGGACUGAUGCCGAAGGCUAUUACCGUGUUAAUAUAGGUGAAGUUCUAGAUAAACGUUACAAUGUCUAUGGUUACACUGGUCAGGGAGUCUUCAGUAACGUAGUGCGAGCCAGGGACAUGGCAAGAGCCAACCAAGAAGUAGCAGUUAAAAUCAUCAGGAACAAUGAACUUAUGCAAAAAACUGGCCUAAAAGAACUGGAAUUUUUGAAGAAGCUCAAUGAUGCAGAUCCUGAUGAUAAAUUUCACUGUCUACGGUUGUUCAGGCAUUUCUACCACAAACAACAUCUCUGUCUGGUGUUUGAGCCACUCAGUAUGAAUUUACGAGAGGUGUUGAAAAAGUAUGGGAAAGAUGUUGGACUCCAUAUUAAAGCUGUGCGUUCCUACAGCCAGCAGUUGUUCCUGGCUUUGAAACUUCUUAAAAGAUGCAAUAUCCUACAUGCAGACAUUAAACCAGACAAUAUUUUGGUGAAUGAGUCCAAAACAAUAUUAAAACUUUGCGAUUUUGGAUCAGCUUCACAUGUUGCAGAUAAUGACAUCACACCCUAUCUAGUUAGUAGAUUUUAUCGAGCUCCAGAAAUCAUUAUAGGAAAAAUCUAUGACUAUGGUAUAGAUAUGUGGUCUGUAGGCUGCACAUUAUAUGAACUUUAUACAGGAAAAAUACUCUUUCCUGGCAAAACCAAUAACCAUAUGUUGAAACUAGCCAUGGAUCUCAAAGGAAAGAUGCCAAACAAGAUGAUUCGAAAAGGUGUGUUCAAAGACCAGCACUUUGAUCAAAAUCUCAACUUUAUGUAUAUAGAAGUAGAUAAAGUGACAGAAAGGGAGAAAGUUACUGUUAUGAGCACCAUUAAUCCAACCAAGGACCUGUUAGCAGACUUGAUUGGGUGCCAACGACUCCCUGAAGACCAGCGUAAAAAAGUACACCAGCUAAAGGACUUGUUGGACCAGAUUCUAAUGUUAGACCCAGCUAAACGGAUUAGCAUCAACCAGGCUCUGCAGCAUGCCUUCAUCCAGGAAAAAAUCUAAACCAGAUGAAGAAGUUCAAAGGGUUUGAGUAAUUAAGAUACAAAGACUGAAGAAAUUUCACAGGAGUUAUUAAUGUAUAUAAAACAUAAAUAUUUCCCCUGCAAAGUUGAGGAAGAAAUGAUACAUUUGAAUUAACAACAAGGCUGAUAUUUCUUUUAGAAAUGUUAGAGUAAUUCUGUUUUGUGUCUUACGUGAAAAUUUUCACUGUAGAACUGUUUUAAUUGCCAAGACUGCACAGAAGUACAAUGCUAAUGUAUAUGGUUGCAGUUCGUAUAUAUUAUAAAAAGAAAAAAAGCAUCUGUUAUAAAAAAAAAAGAAAGGAAAAAAAAAAAAGAGCAGUAAUACUGGGUGGUUGAUUUGUUUUUAGCAGACUUGGCUUCAUUUUUGUCUUUAAAAAAUGGCCAGCAUAAAUGCUGUUUAUAUUCACAUUUUCCUAGGUGUGUGUGUGCAGGCCACAGCAGCAUGCCCUUGGUGUAGUCAGUGCCGAAGGGGGUCUGUUCCUUCUUGAGCCUGCCCGCAGGGAUGGUCUCCUCUUUUAAAGCAGGUUGUGUACAACUUUCAGUACACUGAAGGUAAGCUAACCCAUCAACAUCACCGGUGUUUAAGCUGUUAUUUUACUGGAACAACUGACAAAUGAGAGACAAUAGCGUUGUGGCAGAAUUCCCUGCAUGUUUGAGAAAUGGUCUUGUUUUCUUUUCUGGCAUUGCGACCGUGGCAUAGUUACAACUUCUGUUCUGUUCAUCACAUUUAAAAUUUGGAGAGUGCGCACUUGAUGGAUAGAGCGCCUUCAGUGUACUGUUUCUUAUUACUUUAAUUUUUUUAAUCAACUUGCUAUAGACUUUGUAUACAUUUUGUUAAAUACAGUUCACUAUGACAUAGAAACCAGUACUAAAGGAAGAGUUUUCAUUUCGUAAUUACAUACGUUGGGAUCUCAUUCGAAAGACCUUAUAUCUAAAGGAUAGACAACAUAACGAAAUUUUUAACUAUUUGUAUGUCAUUUUGAAAGUGUACUGCUUUAUGCUAAAAGUGUUUCAUUUGUUCAUUGUUUUCAUUAUUUGUGAUCAUGUUGUCUUUCAAUACAGGCAUAAACCUUCCACUCUUGAACAAAGCAGCUGCUUUUUAAAAGCGAGAAAAAGGAAAGCGAGUCACAGGCCACUCAACGCCUACUCCAUGGGUCUGAUUUGCUGAGACACCAACUUCACCUUCCUAACAAGGUUAUUUCUGACAGCAUGUGUAGAUAAACAUUUAGCAACAAGUUAAAACAGCUUGAAACAUUUGAAUUGGUUAUACAGCGUGAGGCAACCAAAAUAAAACUUUUCAGGUCCAUCCUGCUGUUUUAGUGUUCUCUUUGACAAUGUUAAGAGCUUCAUCUUUUCCUUUUUAUUAAUAUAUUCUGAAAAGCUGUGAAAACCCCACUGGUUUCACAUACUUUAUAAUACUUCUUUGAACUAAGAAGGGUUUUUGUAUCCAUCUAGGUACAUAAUGGCAACAGUCAUGCACUCUUAGUGCACUCAAGAAUGGAAAAAUGACACAAAGCAGUCAUUCUGCUGGUGGGGAAUACCCCACCGAGGAGAUGUAAUGAACUAACUACGAAAACAAGCAGGAGAUGGGUGGUUUUGAAUGCCUAUUUGGAACCUUCAACCUGUCUCUUCUCAAUUGAUAAUGUAAAAUUCUUUAUUUUUAAAAAAUCUUGCCUUACUUUCGCUUAUUAAGGUAUUUUGUUCACAGAGGAAAUUUUUAAAAUUAGCUUUCGUAUUUAAUGAAAGACUAGUUCCUUGCUAGUCAAAUAGAGAAGCUAACUUGUACCUUCACAUGACAGGCAGCACUUAGGGCAAUUUUACACAGAGGUAGUGAUAGCUUAGUCUUUCUGUUGCUUUGUGCUUUAAGUAGGAAUAUGAAACAAUGCAAUGAGUUGGUGAUGCAGAAACAAAGCAGUAGAAAAGAUGCCCCUAAAUGCCUACAGAACUGUUUUAAGCUAUUCUGGAGAAGCGUAAAGUUGCUCGUUUACUUGUUCUUUGUGUUGUAGGUGCAGCUCAAAAGAAGAUGAUGGCUACCAGAAGACAUGAACAAAGGUUUCUGUCCUAUAAAAGAUACGAAAAAUACUCUUCAUGUAGUUCUGUCUUAAUCUUUCGGUUUCCAGCAUUCCAGUUUAGAAUUGAUUAACACUGCUGCAGUGCUGAUAAUUUCUGAAACUUACUGUAAUAGAACUUCUUACAUAGAUGUGCUUUUUUGUUUCCAAUUCAAGAGAUAUUUUUACUUGGAUUAAAUGUAGGUAAAUAAGCAUUACUGUUUAAACACAGUUUUCUUAAAAUAAUUAUAGUAUUAUGCCUAUGAAAUUUAGGGAAAAACCUGCCAUUCUGUUUGGUUAAAAUCUGUGUUGUAACUAGUAAAUAAUUAAGCAGAUGAUGUGUUUUUGUUUUUUUUUAACUUCAGCAGGUUGGUUAUUUAAUUGUCAAACUUUACUGUUGAUACGUAGACUAUACGUACACUAACAAGUGUAUUUCAGUCCUUAGUCCAGUGUGAGUUUCAGCUGAUACUUUUUGGCAAAAAAAAAAAAAAAAAAAAUUAAAUCUUUAGUUCUGGCUUCAGAAGCCUCUGGAAUUGAGGGCUUUUUGACAGUGUUAAGGAACCUCUCCAGUUUUAGGUGGUACUUGUCUCAGUAGAGCCUGUGGUCUCUUGAGGAGAGCAGAGUAGCUGUUAGUGCCACUGCUGUCAGAUGAAUUCCAGCUAUUACAGCUUGGGGCAAACAGAAUAGCUGUGCAACUGAGUCUUGUUGAAAUAUUUCUCAGCUGAUCUAAGAGGGAGGAUAAUUUCUUUUCCUCUUAUACAGGAAGAUGUAAUUUGUAUCUUCACCUGAUGUCCUACAUUACAGACAGUAAUCUGCUGUGCUAUUUUCUGUUUCCUUCUCCCUCAUGGUGAUGAGGAGCUUUACAUUUAACACACUUAGUUUGCCAAGCAUUCAGGAAAAAAAAACCAAGAUACCAGCCUCACGCAGUUAGAAUGUGUUUUUAUUAGCUUGGUGUAUACUAAUAUAAUUUAAAAAUUUAAAAACUGUUUGAGAGGUUUUGAUAGAAUAUUAAUGGUUCCUUUAAAACCCUUUUAAUAAUGCUUUAUCUCCAUACAUAGGGUAAGUGGCAUUAAACCUCUGAAGAAUCUUUAUGUGUAUAUUGACCUGUGCACGGAAGGCAGACCAGUCGGUAAUACUACUGGAGAUAGAGCCAUCUUCUACAGUAUGUGUAAAACUGUAACUUGGGUGGAGGAUAUUGGGAGGUGACAAUUCCUUGAAAUUAAUAAAGUACACUUAAAACUUA